ACGGAAGGCAGCAGUGGGGAAUAUUGCACAAUGGGGGAAACCCUGAUGCAGCGACGCCGCGUGAGUGAAGAAGUAUUUCGGUAUGUAAAGCUCUAUCAGCAAGGAAGAAAAUGACGGUACUUGACUAAGAAGCCCCGGCUAACUACGUGCCAGCAGCCGCGGUAAUACGUAGGGGGCAAGCGUUAUCCGGAUUUACUGGGUGUAAAGGGAGCGUAGACGGUAAGGCAAGUCUGAAGUGAAAUGCAUGGGCUCAACCCAUGAACUGCUUUGGAAACUGUCUGACUAGAGUGCAGGAGAGGUAAGUGGAAUUCCUAGUGUAGCGGUGAAAUGCGUAGAUAUUAGGAGGAACACCAGUGGCGAAGGCGACUUUCUGGACUGUAACUGACACUGAGGUACGAAAGCGUGGGGAGCAAACAGGAUUAGAUACCCUGGUA
rnacentral:rRNA from 1 species